rnacentral:rRNA from 1 species
UACGUAGGUGACAAGCGUUGUCCGGAUUUACUGGGCGUAAAGAGCGCGCAGGCGGUCGUUCAAGUCGAGUGUGAAAGCCCCCGGCUCAACUGGGGGAGGGUCAUUCGAUACUGAUCGACUCGAAGGCAGGAGAGGGAAGUGGAAUUCCCGGUGUAGUGGUGAAAUGCGUAGAUAUCGGGAGGAACACCAGUGGCGAAGGC